GGAGGGAUACCGAAGUGGUCAUAACGGGGCGGUCUUGAAAACCGUUAGAGUGCAAGCUCACGCGGGUUCGAAUCCUGCUCCCUCCGCCA
rnacentral:tRNA from 27 species